GCAGAAGUGAUUGGCCAGGAUGGCGGUGCAACCGCUUCUUCGUAGCAUACAGCCGGUAUGAAGUUUUAGAUCACGUAAUCAUCCACCUUCAUUCUCAAAGUCGAGUUGACCAAGGAAGGGUUUGACUCUACCUGGGUGUCGAGGAAGCACCGACAACCUGACGAAGAGCUCCGACUUCCAGCAUAAAAUGUGCAUCGCAAAAUUAAAGUCUGGCAAAAUAUUGCCUGAUCAUCACAACUAGCGAAUUCACCAAUUAUUUGGGCAGCAAAAUUAAUCUUUUUCACUGUACUCUGAAGCAGGGAAGGGUAACGGACAUACCAGCCUUUCAAUUUCAGUUCCGUUACGUUUCCAUUACUGUUUCCGGUAAUGGAAAGGCUGUUACAAAGCUGUGGGAGGACAGCCAGUCCAUCUCUGUCAGCACCCUGGUUUUUCUCCCAAGUGCUGCUUUGGUGUCACGCGUACACACUACACAAGAACAUGUCUUCAGUCACUCUGAGUCCAGCAACUCAAGAUGGGCGAAACCUUCAUCGACUGUCACAUUCAUAAGCGGAUGCUCUCAGUAGUAAACAA